rnacentral:rRNA from 1 species
GACGAACGCUGGCGGCGUGCUUAACACAUGCAAGUCGAACGGAAAGGCCCUGCUUUUGUUUGGUGCUCGAGUGGCGAACGGGUGAGUAACACGUGAGUAACCUGCCCUUGCCUUUGGGAUAACUUCAGGAAACUGGGGCUAAUACCGGAUAGGAGCUCCUGAUGCUUGGUGGGGGUUGGAAAGUUUCGGCGGUUGGGGAUGGACUCGCGGCUUAUCAGCCUGUUGGUGGGGUAGUGGCUUACCAAGGCUUUGACGGGUAGCCGGACUGAGAGGGUGACCAGCCACAGUGGGACUGAGAUACGGCCCAGACUCCUACGGGAGGAAGCAGUGGGGAAUAUUGCACGAUGGGCGGAAGCCUGAUGCAGCAACGCCGCGUGCGGGAUGACUGCCUUCGGGUUGUAAACCGCGUUCGCCUGUGACGAAGAGUGAGUGACGGUAAUGGAUAAAGAAGCAACGGCUAACUACGUG